rnacentral:tRNA from 1 species
AGCCUUGUAGUGAAAUUUCAUGUUGAAUUGCAAAUUCAAAGAAGCAGCUUCAAUUCUGCCGAGGCU